rnacentral:RNase_P_RNA from 1 species
UGGGCAGGCCGGAUGGUCGCCCCUGGCUGAUUUGCUUCGUUCUCUAGAACAGAAGCAAAUCAAUACGCCUGGGGAGGAAAGUCCGAGCUCCAAAGGACAGCGUAGCGGGUAACACCCGUCCGCCGCAAGGCGAGGAUAAUCCCGGGGCUAGUAAUAGCCGCAGGAUCCCGAUGCCGGACUUCUCCGAAGUCCUGGCUCGGGAGAGCCACAGUGACGAACAAUCCCAUGCGGAAGGCCUGACGGCCUUAACGCAGGGACGAAGUGAAACGCGGCAAUCUCUACGCGGAGCAAGGCCAAAUAGGCGCAUCUCUUGGGGCUGUCCGCUCCAGGCCCGCAAGGGCGGAUGCGCGGGUUGGCUGCUUGAGCCCCGGAGUAAUCCGGGGUCUAGAUGGAUGACCAUCCCCAGCGUAUUGAUUUACUUCUGGCCGAGAGGCCGAAGUAAAUCUGCAGGGGACGAAACUCGGCUUAUAGGCCUGCCCAAAAU